GUGGGGAAUCUUGCGCAAUGGGCGAAAGCCUGACGCAGCCAUGCCGCGUGGAUGAUGAAGGUCUUAGGAUUGUAAAAUCCUUUCACCGGUGAAGAUAAUGACUGUAGCCGGAGAAGAAGCCCCGGCUAACUUCGUGCCAGCAGCCGCGGUAAUACGAAGGGGGCUAGCGUUGCUCGGAUUUACUGGGCGUAAAGGGCGCGUAGGCGGACAUUUAAGUCAAGGGUGAAAUCCCGGGGCUCAACCUCGGAACUGCCUUUGAUACUGGGUGUCUUGAGUAUGAGAGAGGUGUGUGGAACUCCGAGUGUAGAGGUGAAAUUCGUAGAUAUUCGGAAGAACACCAGUGGCGAAGGCGACACACUGGCUCAUUACUGACGCUGAGGCGCGAAAGCGUGGGGAGCAAACAGGAUUAGAAACCCGGGUAGUCC
rnacentral:rRNA from 1 species